CCUACGGGAGGCAGCAGUGAGGCAUAUUGGUCAAUGGGCGCGAGCCUGAACCAGCCAAGUAGCGUGAAGGAUGACUGCCCUACGGGUUGUAAACUUCUUUUAUAAAGGAAUAAAACGAGGCACGUGUGCCUUUUUGCAUGUAAUUUAUGAAUAAGGAUCGGCUAACUCCGUGCCAGCAGCCGCGGUAAUCCGGAGGAGCCGAUCGUUAUCCGGAUUUAUUGGGGUUAAAGGGAGCGUAGAUGGGUUGUUAAGUCAGUUGUGAAAGUUUGCGGCUCAACCGUAAAAUUGCAAUUGAUACUGGCAGUCGUGAGUACAGUUGAGGUAGGCGGAAUUCGUGGUGUAGCGGUGAAAUGCUUAGAUAUCACGAAGAACCCCGAUUGCGAAGGCAGCUUACUAAACUGUGACUGACAUUGAUGAUCGAAAGUGUGGGUAUCAAACAGGAUUAGAUACCCCAGUAGUC
rnacentral:rRNA from 1 species